rnacentral:rRNA from 1 species
UGAUCCUGGCUCAGGACGAACGCUGGCGGCGUGCUUAACACAUGCAAGUCGAACGAAAAGACGGAAAGAGCUUGCUCUUUUCAGAAUUGAGUGGCAAACGGGUGAGUAACACGUAAACAACCUGCCUUCAGGAUGGGGACAACAGACGGAAACGACUGCUAAUACCGAAUAAGUUCCAAGGGCCGCAUGGCCCAUGGAAGAAAAGGUGGCCUCUACCUGUAAGCUAUCGCCUGAAGAGGGGUUUGCGUCUGAUUAGCUGGUUGGAGGGGUAACGGCCCACCAAGGCGACGAUCAGUAGCCGGUCUGAGAGGAUGAACGGCCACACUGGAACUGAGACACGGUCCAGACUCCUACGGGAGGCAGCAGUGGGGAAUAUUGGGCAAUGGGAGAAAUCCUGACCCAGCGACGCCGCGUGAACGAAGACGGCCUUCGGGUUGUAAAGUUCUUUUAUGUGGGAAGAAGGAAGUGACGGUACCACAUGAAUAAGCCCCGGCUAACUACGUGCCAGCAGCCGCGGUAAUACGUAGGGGGCGAGCGUUGUCCGGAAUUACUGGGCGUAAAGGGCACGCAGGCUGUGCUUCAAGUCAGCUGUAAAAGGAUGCGGCUUAACCGUGUUAUGCAGUUGAGACUGAGGUGCUGGAGUACCGGAGAGGCAAGUGGAAUUCCCAGUGUAGCGGUGAAAUGCGUAGAUAUUGGGAAGAACAUCGGUGGCGAAGGCGACUUGCUGGACGGUAACUGACGCUGAGGUGCGAAAGCCAGGGUAGCGAACGGGAUUAGAUACCCCGGUAGUCCUGGCUGUAAACGAUGAAUGCUAGGUGUGCGAGCAGAGAUGUUGGUGUGCCGCAGUUAACGCGAUAAGCAUUCCGCCUGGGGAGUACGGUCGCAAGAUUGAAACUCAAAGGAAUUGACGGGGGCCCGCACAAGCGGUGGAGCACGUGGUUUAAUUCGAUGCAAACCGAAGAACCUUACCUGGGUUUGACAUGUAUGUGGUAGGAGAUGGAAACAUUGAC